GAUGAACGCUGGCGGCGUGCCUAAUACAUGCAAGUCGAGCGAACAGACGAGGAGCUUGCUCCUCUGACGUUAGCGGCGGACGGGUGAGUAACACGUGGAUAACCUACCUAUAAGACUGGGAUAACUUCGGGAAACCGGAGCUAAUACCGGAUAAUAUAUUGAACCGCAUGGUUCAAUAGUGAAAGACGGUUUUGGUGUCACUUAUAGAUGGAUCCGCGCCGCAUUAGCUAGUUGGUAAGGUAACGGCUUAGCAAGGCAACGAUGCGUAGCCGACGUGAGAGGGUGAUCGGCCACACUGGAACUGGAACGCGGUCCAGACUCCUACGGGAGGCAGCAGUAGGGAAUCUGCCGCAAUAGGCGAAAGCCUGACAGAGCAACGCCGCGUGAGUGAUGAAGGUCUUCGGAUCGUAAAACUCUGUUAUUGGGGAAGAACAAAUUUGUAAGUAACUAUGCACGUCUUGACGGUACCUAGUCAGAAAGCCACGGCUAACUACGUG
rnacentral:rRNA from 1 species